GUGAAUGUAGCUCAGUGGUAAAGUACUUGCCUUGUGUGCAUUAGGUCCUGGGUUUGAUCCUCAGCACAUACA
rnacentral:tRNA from 1 species